GGGGAUUUAGCUCAAUGGUAGAGCGCUUGCCUAGGAAGCGCAAGGCCCUGGGUUCAAUCCCCAGCUCCG
rnacentral:tRNA from 1 species